GAUCAUGGCUCAAGAUGAACGCUAGCUACAGGCUUAACACAUGCAAGUCGAGGGGCAGCAUGGUCUUAGCUUGCUAAGGCCGAUGGCGACCGGCGCACGGGUGAGUAACACGUAUCCAACCUGCCGUCUACUCCUGGACAGCCUUCUGAAAGGAAGAUUAAUACAAGAUGGCAUCAUGAGUCCGCAUGUUCACAUGAUUAAAGGUAUUCCGGUAGACGAUGGGGA
rnacentral:rRNA from 1 species